UUUUUUCUCGUACCUUUUGCAUCAUGAUUUAACUAGUAAUCCUUAAGCAAAGUGCCCUUUAGUUUAAUACCCCGAAACUAAGUGAGCUACUCCAAGACAGCCUAAUUAAUAGGGCACACCCGUCUCUGUUGCAAAAGAGUGGGAAGAGCUUCGAGUAGAGGUGACAGACCUAUCGAACUUAGUUAUAGCUGGUUGCCUGGGAAAUGGAUAAGAGUUCAGCCUCCCGGCUUCUUCCCAAACCUCGAGAGUUAGUCAAAGGGGGAACAGCCCCUUUGAAAUAAGAUACAACUUUUUUAGGUGGGUAAAGAUCAUAAAAAAUAAGGUGCAUGUCCUGGUGGGCCUGAAAGCAGCCAUCCCUACAGAAAGCGUCAAAGCUCUAACAUUCUAUUUUGAUAAUAUAAUCUCAACCCCCUAACCUUACCGGGCCGCCCCAUGCACCCAUGGAAGCGACCAUGUUAAUAUGAGUAAUAAGAGACGCCUCUCUCCCUGCACAUGUGUACAUCGGAACGGACUCCCCACCGAAUCUUAACGGCCCCAAACAAAGAGGGAACUGGAUUAUAACUAGAAAAACGUCCACCGUUAAACCCACACAGGCGUGCUCCCGUGGAAAGACUAAAAGAAAAAGAAGGAACUCGGCAAACAAGCCUCGCCUGUUUACCAAAAACAUCGCCUCUUGCAAGUAUAAGAGGUCCCGCCUGCCCUGUGAUUCUAAUUAUUUAACGGCCGCGGUAUUUUAACCGUGCGAAGGUAGCGUAAUCACUUGUCUUUUAAAUGAAGACCUGUAUGAAAGGCAUGACGAGGGCUUGACUGUCUCCUUUUUCAAGUCAGUGAAAUUGAUCUCCCCGUGCAGAAGCGGGGAUAAGAACAUAAGACGAGAAGACCCUAUGGAGCUUUAGACACAGGGGUAGCCCAUGUUAAACACCCCUUAAUAAAGGACUGAACCUAGUGAACCCUGCUCUAAUGUCUUUGGUUGGGGCGACCGCGGGGAAACAAGUAACCCCCACGUGGAAUGGAAGUACUUCUUUAGCUAAGAGCUUCCGCUCUAAUAAACAGAAUUUUUGACCCAAAAGAUCCGGCAAUGCCGAUCGACGGACCGAGUUACCCUAGGGAUAACAGCGCAAUCCCCUUUUAGAGCUCGUAUCGACAAGGGGGUUUACGACCUCGAUGUUGGAUCAGGACAUCCUAAUGGUGCAG
rnacentral:rRNA from 1 species